UUGAAAUGAAAUGAACAAUAUAACUAAAAAUUGAAUCGAACUGAAUGAAAAACGGAAUUGAAUUGAAUUGAUGGUAACUUAUAUUUUACAGAACUUGAAAGUAACUGAAUGAUUAGUCUAGAUUUUUAGUCAUGAAAUGGAAUUAAAGGAACUGAAUUAUGCAGGAAAAUAUUCACUGAAUGAAAUUGAAUUUAAAAUAAAUGAUUCAAACUAACAAGUAUUAAAGUGUUUGGAAUGAAAUCCACAUUAAGAUGAUCGAGGAUGACGCCAAUAGCAAGAACAGAAACUAAAAAAAAAAAAAACUGAAAUUCUGGAAUGUAUAUACCUGUAAUAUGACAAAAGAAACAUGAAAUGAAUAUCUUGAAUAAAGACAAACCUAAGGAAUCGGAAACGAUCAACGAAGACAGAAAUAAAAGAAACUUACAGACGUAAAAUAUCUCGGUGGUUUUCCAACUUCAUUAUCC
rnacentral:lncRNA from 1 species